UACGUAGGGACCAAGCGUUGUUCGGAUUUACUGGCGUAAAGGGCGCGUAGGCGGCAAUUCAAGUCAUCUGUGAAAUCUCCGGGCUCAACUCGGAGCCUGCACGAGAAACUGCCGGGCUUAGUGUGGGAGAGGUGAGUGGAAUUCCUGGUGUAGCGGUGAAAUGCGUAGAUAUCAGGAGGAACACCUGUGGCGAAAGCGGCUCACUGGACCAUAACUGACGCUGAUGCACGAAAGCUAGGGGAGCAAACAGG
rnacentral:rRNA from 1 species